rnacentral:rRNA from 1 species
GAUGCGAAUCUCGAAAGCCUGUCUCAGUUCGGAUUGGAGGCUGCAACUCGCCUACAUGAAGUCGGAAUCGCUAGUAAUCGCGGAUCAGCAUGCCGCGGUGAAUACGUUCCCGGGCCUUGUACACACCGCCCGUCACACCAUGAGAGUUUGUAACACCCAAAGCCGGUGGGGUAACCUUCUGGAGCCAGCCGUCUAAGGUGGGACAGAUGAUUAGGGUGAAGUCGUAACAAGGUAAC